rnacentral:lncRNA from 1 species
AGGAAGGCUGUAGAGAAGAUGGGGCAACUAGGAUUUGUGGCCCUGGUGCAGUCUUUCAGAGGUUUCGAGACAUACUUAUAUGUAAAAGGUUGAUACAAAACAUGAGUAAAUAAAAUUUCCUAAAUGGAGGUCGACUGGCAUUUCAUAACUAGUGCCUCUCUUGCUCUGAGCACUAAACAGGAGUCGCUAUGGUAUCAUUUUGGCUGUUUUUGUUACAUUUCAAGUUUUCUCAAAAUAUAAACAAGGUAAUCAAUGCAAACUUUAAUAAAAUCUUAUAGUAUACAGUGAAUUCUUACAUUUAUCACACAAUAUACUAACAUUCCCAAUUUCAUUUGUCAGCCAGAUGGUUGCAUUGCAUGGUAAAGCUGUGGCUUAUCACCUUGGAAGAUCUGGAUUCAAAUCCGGAUCCUACACCUCCAGUAUUUCAGGAGGAGUCCAGGCCUGGUCUAUUGAACCCAAUCUUUUAACCAUCCAGUUGAUCCAUCAUAUAUGUUGGUCAGCUUGUGAAGGGCUCUAUAAGUGGCCACUGCCAAAUACAGUAUAUCUCUCAUGCGAUAUGGCAGCUUAACCAACUCAAUCAGUCCAAUCUCAUUUAAAUAUUUUAUUUAUUAAAUUAAACAUUAAUAGAAAAUCUAUAGCAUAUAC